rnacentral:tRNA from 1 species
GGGGGGAUACCAGAGCGGUCAAAUGGGACGGACUGUAAAUCCGUUGCGCGAGCUACGAAGGUUCGAAUCCUUCUCCCCCCA